CCUGAUCAGAGCGAACUGUUCAUCCAGAUCUUCCUCGGGAAGGUGCGCCCAUCACGCACGCCCCGCCGAGGAC
rnacentral:sRNA from 1 species